rnacentral:rRNA from 1 species
CUACGGGCGGCAGCAGUCGAGAAUCUUCGGCAAUGGACGAAAGUCUGACCGAGCGACGCCGCGUGUACGAUGAAGGCCUUCGGGUUGUAAAGUACUGUCAGUUGGGAGGAAAUAUUUGGGGGUCAUCCCCCUUAUUUGACCCAUCUUCAGAGGAAGUGCGGGCUAAGUUCGUGCCAGCAGCCGCGGUAAUACGAACCGCACGAACGUUAUUCGGAAUCACUGGGCUUAAAGGGUGCGUAGGCGGUCUAGUAAGUUGGGUGUGAAAUCCCUCGGCUCAACCGAGGAAUUGCGCUCAAUACUGCUAGACUUGAGGGAGAUAGAGGUAAGCGGAACUCAGGGUGGAGCGGUGAAAUGUGUUGAUAUCCUGGGGAACACCAGUUGCGAAAGCGGCUUACUGGGUCUCUUCUGACGCUGAGGCACGAAAGCUAGGGGAGCGAACGGGAUUAGAUACCCGCGUAGUC